UUGAUCACAUGGAGUAACAGGUGGCUUCAGAACACCCUGGGUCUACCCAGGUCUAUGAUCUGACUCAACUGGCAGAGAUAAUUUGGACAACACAAAAGGGAGUUCUUAAAGUGAUCUGGGCUGGCCACAUCAAAACAGAAGAGGAAUGCCCCCAAAUGCCCUGCCAGGACGCGGCCUGAAUUCCUGACUUGGGCAGCCUCUAGACGUGCAGCAGAACGAGUGAAGAGAAUGGACAACACCACUUCGAACAGCAGGCUGGAGGACGCUGGCUGUGCUGAUCCUUCGCUCACCUUCCCGGGGUGAGCCCUGCUGAGAUGGUGGUGGAGAAAGUGCCCCAACCGU